rnacentral:rRNA from 2 species
UUGAUUUUGGUCGCCAACGAGUGGCGGACGGGUGAGUAACACGUAGGUAACCUGCCCAGAAGCGGGGGACAACAUUUGGAAACAGAUGCUAAUACCGCAUAACAGCGUUGUUCGCAUGAACAACGCUUAAAAGAUGGCUUCUCGCUAUCACUUCUGGAUGGACCUGCGGUGCAUUAGCUUGUUGGUGGGGUAACGGCCUACCAAGGCGAUGAUGCAUAGCCGAGUUGAGAGACUGAUCGGCCACAAUGGGACUGAGACACGGCCCAUACUCCUACGGGAGGCAGCAGUAGGGAAUCUUCCACAAUGGGCGCAAGCCUGAUGGAGCAACACCGCGUGAGUGAAGAAGGGUUUCGGCUCGUAAAGCUCUGUUGUUAAAGAAGAACACGUAUGAGAGUAACUGUUCAUACGUUGACGGUAUUUAACCAGAAAGUCACGGCUAACUACGUGCCAGCAGCCGCGGUAAUACGUAGGUGGCAAGCGUUAUCCGGAUUUAUUGGGCGUAAAGAGAGUGCAGGCGGUUUUCUAAGUCUGAUGUGAAAGCCUUCGGCUUAACCGGAGAAGUGCAUCGGAAACUGGAUAACUUGAGUGCAGAAGAGGGUAGUGGAACUCCAUGUGUAGCGGUGGAAUGCGUAGAUAUAUGGAAGAACACCAGUGGCGAAGGCGGCUACCUGGUCUGCAACUGACGCUGAGACUCGAAAGCAUGGGUAGCGAACAGGAUUAGAUACCCUGGUAGUCCAUGCCGUAAACGAUGAGUGCUAGGUGUUGGAGGGUUUCCGCCCUUCAGUGCCGGAGCUAACGCAUUAAGCACUCCGCCUGGGGAGUACGACCGCAAGGUUGAAACUCAAAGGAAUUGACGGGGGCCCGCACAAGCGGUGGAGCAUGUGGUUUAAUUCGAAGCUACGCGAAGAACCUUACCAGGUCUUGACAUCUUGCGCCAACCCUAGAGAUAGGGCGUUUCCUUCGGGAACGCAAUGACAGGUGGUGCAUGGUCGUCGUCAGCUCGUGUCGUGAGAUGUUGGGUUAAGUCCCGCAACGAGCGCAACCCUUGUUACUAGUUGCCAGCAUUAAGUUGGGCACUCUAGUGAGACUGCCGGUGACAAACCGGAGGAAGGUGGGGACGACGUCAGAUCAUCAUGCCCCUUAUGACCUGGGCUACACACGUGCUACAAUGGACGGUACAACGAGUCGCGAACUCGCGAGGGCAAGCAAAUCUCUUAAAACCGUUCUCAGUUCGGACUGCAGGCUGCAACUCGCCUGCACGAAGUCGGAAUCGCUAGUAAUCGCGGAUCAGCAUGCCGCGGUGAAUACGUUCCCGGGCCUUGUACACACCGCCCGUCACACCAUGA